GAAGAAAUUCAACCAAGCGCG
rnacentral:snRNA from 1 species